ACGAGUUAGGGCCUCUGGCCCGAACCUCCAACCCUUUGUAUCAAAACCUCGUUGCCUCGGGGAGGCCUGCCUCACGGCUGGCCCCCCGAUGGACCACUAAACUCUGCAUCUGUAUGACGUCUGAGUAAAGAUUUUAAAUUAAAUCA
rnacentral:misc_RNA from 1 species